rnacentral:rRNA from 1 species
AACGCACCUUGCGCUCCUUGGUAUUCCGAGGAGCAUGCCUGUUUGAGUGUCAUUAAAUUCUCAACCUUACCAACUUUGUUGUCUGGUAAAGGCUUGGAUGUGGGGGUUUUGCUGGCUUCGUCAAGAGGUCGGCUCUCCUUAAAUGAAUCAGCCUCCCAGUGUUUGGUGGCAUCACGGGUGUGAUAGAUAUCUACGCUCGCGGUUGUCUGCCAGGUAACCUUUGGUGACAAAGGUUCGCUGGAGCUCACAGAUGUCUCUCCUCGGCGAGGACAGCUUUUUUGAACGUUCGAUCUCAAAUCAGGUAGGACUACCCGCUGAACUUAA